rnacentral:rRNA from 1 species
UAAUACGGAGGGUGCAAGCGUUAUCCGGAUUCACUGGGUUUAAAGGGUGCGUAGGCGGACAGGUAAGUCAGUGGUGAAAUCUUUGGGCUUAACCCGAAAACUGCCAUUGAUACUAUUUGUCUUGAAUAUUGUGGAGGUGAGCGGAAUAUGUCAUGUAGCGGUGAAAUGCUUAGAUAUGACAUAGAACACCCAUUGCGAAGGCAGCUCACUACGCAUAUAUUGACGCUGAGGCACGAAAGCGUGGGGAUCAAACAGG